CAAUAACUUUUAUUAAUGGUCAUGCAUAUCUCAUUUAGUAUUUGCUCUGUGCAGGGUUAAAUAUCUUGUCUUGGAUGAAGCUGAUAAGCUUUUUGAGCUAGGUUUUGUAGAACAAAUUGAUUCUGUGGUCAAAGCCUGUUCAAAAACUACUGUGGUGCUACACUGUUCAGUGUGAGUUUUCCUGUUGAAAAACUUGCAAGUACAGUUAUGGUUGAUGCAGUUCGAAUCAUCAUUGGUAGAAAAAAUUCUGCCUCCGAGAUGAUUAAGCAAAAGCCUGUUUUUGCCGGUAGUGAAAAAGGGAAUUUUGCUUGCUAUUCGUCAAAGCUUUUCAGAGGGUUAAAUAUCUUGUCUUGGAUGAAGCUGAUAAGCUUUUUGAGCUAGGUUUUGUAGAACAAAUUGAUUCUGUGGUCAAAGCCUGUUCAAAAACUACUGUGGUGCUACACUGUUCAGUGUGAGUUUUCCUGUUGAAAAACUUGCAAGUACAGUUAUGGUUGAUGCAGUUCGAAUCAUCAUUGGUAGAAAAAAUUCUGCCUCCGAGAUGAUUAAGCAAAAGCCUGUUUUUGCCGGUAGUGAAAAAGGGAAUUUUGCUUGCUAUUCGUCAAAGCUUUUCAGAGGUACAACUGAUAUCUUUAUAUUUCUAGCACAUUAAAUUCACAUGAUUAAUCAAAUAUGCCUGUCUGUCAAGCAGAACAGGCAUGAUAUCUUAUU